CAGUAGCCACGGGAAUACGUAGGGUGCGAGCGUUAAUCGGAAUUACUGGGCGUAAAGCGUGCGCAGGCGGUUCGUUAAGUCUGCUGUGAAAUCCCCGGGCUCAACCUGGGAAUGGCAGUGGAUACUGGCAAGCUAGAGUGUGUCAGAGGAUGGUGGAAUUCCCGGUGUAGCGGUGAAAUGCGUAGAGAUCGGGAGGAACAUCAGUGGCGAAGGCGGCCAUCUGGGACAACACUGACGCUGAGGCACGAAAGCGUGGGGAGCAAACAGGAUUAGAUACCCGCGUAGUCCCUGUCUCUUAUAC
rnacentral:rRNA from 1 species